rnacentral:rRNA from 1 species
UGGGGAAUAUUGGACAAUGGGCGCAAGCCUGAUCCAGCAAUGCCGCGUGUGUGAAGAAGGCCUUCGGGUUGUAAAGCACUUUUAUCAGGAGCGAAACGCUGUCGGCUAAUACCCGGCGGAACUGACGGUACCUGAGGAAUAAGCACCGGCUAACUUCGUGCCAGCAGCCGCGGUAAUACGAAGGGUGCAAGCGUUAAUCGGAAUUACUGGGCGUAAAGCGUGCGUAGGCGGUUUCUUAAGUCUGCUGUGAAAUCCCCGGGCUCAACCUGGGAAUGGCAGUGGAUACUGGGAGGCUAGAGUGUGUCAGAGGGUGGUGGAAUUCCCGGUGUAGCGGUGAAAUGCGUAGAGAUCGGGAGGAACAUCAGUGGCGAAGGCGGCCACCUGGGACAACACUGACGCUGAGGCACGAAAGCGUGGGGAGCAAACAGGAUUAGAUACCCUGGUAGUCCACGCCCUAAAGCGAUGCGAACUGGAUGUUGGUCUCAACUCGGAGAUCAGUGUCGAAGCUAACGCGUUAAGUUCGCCGCCUGGGGAGUACGGUCGCAAGACUGGAAACUUAAAUGAAUUGACGGGGUCA